AGGUAAGCUACUAAGAGCGAAUGGUGGAUGCCUUGACUGGUAAAGGCGAUGAAGGACGUACUAGACUGCGAUAAGCUACGGGGAGCUGUCAAGAAGCUUUGAUCCGUAGAUUUCCGAAUGGGGCAACCCAAUGUAUAGAGAUAUACAUUACCUAUAUAGGAGCGAACGAGGGGAAUUGAAACAUCUUAGUACUCUCAGGAAAAGAAAUCAAUAGAGAUUGCGUCAGUAGCGGCGAGCGAAAGCGCAAGAGGGCAAACCCAGUGCUUGCACUGGGGGUUGUAGGACUGCAAUGUGCAAGAGGUAAGUUUAGCAGAACAUUCUGGAAAGUAUAACCAUAGAGGGUGAUAGUCCCGUAUGCGAAAAACAAACCUUAGCUAGCAGUAUCCUGAGUAGGGCGGGACACGAGGAAUCCUGUCUGAAUCCGGGUCGACCACGAUCCAACCCUAAAUACUAAUACCAGAUCGAUAGUGCACAAGUACCGUGAGGGAAAGGUGAAAAGAACUGAGGUGAUCAGAGUGAAAUAGAACCUGAAACCAUUUGCUUACAAUCAUUCAGAGCCCUAUGUAGCAAUACAGGGUGAUGGACUGCCUUUUGCAUAAUGAGCCUGCGAGUUGUGGUGUCUGGCAAGGUUAAGCAAACGCGAAGCCGUAGCGAAAGCGAGUCUGAAUAGGGCGCUUAGUCAGAUGCUGCAGACCCGAAACGAAGUGAUCUAUCCAUGAGCAAGUUGAAGCUAGUGUAAGAACUAGUGGAGGACUGAACCCAUAGGCGUUGAAAAGCCCCGGGAUGACUUGUGGAUAGGGGUGAAAGGCCAAUCAAACUUCGUGAUAGCUGGUUCUCUCCGAAAUAUAUUUAGGUAUAGCGUUGUGUCGUAAUAUAAGGGGGUAGAGCACUGAAUGGGCUAGGGCAUACACCAAUGUACCAAACCCUAUCAAACUCCGAAUACCUUAUAUGUAAUCACAGCAGUCAGGCGGCGAGUGAUAAAAUCCGUCGUCAAGAGGGAAACAACCCAGACUACCAGCUAAGGUCCCUAAAUCUUACUUAAGUGGAAAACGAUGUGAAGUUACUUAAACAACCAGGAGGUUGGCUUAGAAGCAGCCAUCCUUUAAAGAAAGCGUAAUAGCUCACUGGUCUAGUGAUUUUGCGCGGAAAAUAUAACGGGGCUAAAGUAAGUACCGAAGCUGUAGACUUAGUUUACUAAGUGGUAGGAGAGCGUUCUAUUUGCGUCGAAGGUAUACCGGUAAGGAGUGCUGGAGCGAAUAGAAGUGAGCAUGCAGGCAUGAGUAGCGAUAAUUAAUGUGAGAAUCAUUAACGCCGUAAACCCAAGGUUUCCUACGCGAUGCUCGUCAUCGUAGGGUUAGUCGGGUCCUAAGUCGAGUCCGAAAGGGGUAGACGAUGGCAAAUUGGUUAAUAUUCCAAUACCAACAUUAGUGUGCGAUGGAAGGACGCUUAGGGCUAAGGGGGCUAGCGGAUGGAAGUGCUAGUCUAAGGUCGUAGGAGGUUAUACAGGCAAAUCCGUAUAACAAUACUCCGAGAACUGAAAGGCUUUUUGAAGUCUUCGGAUGGAUAGAAGAACCCCUGAUGCCGUCGAGCCAAGAAAAGUUUCUAAGUUUAGCUAAUGUUGCCCGUACCGUAAACCGACACAGGUGGGUGGGAUGAGUAUUCUAAGGCGCGUGGAAGAACUCUCUUUAAGGAACUCUGCAAAAUAGCACCGUAUCUUCGGUAUAAGGUGUGGUUAGCUUUGUAUUAGGAUUUACUCCGAAAGCAAGGAAACUUACAACAAAGAGUCCCUCCCGACUGUUUACCAAAAACACAGCACUCUGCUAACUCGUAAGAGGAUGUAUAGGGUGUGACGCCUGCCCGGUGCUCGAAGGUUAAUUGAUGGGGUUAGCAUUAGCGAAGCUCUUGAUCGAAGCCCGAGUAAACGGCGGCCGUAACUAUAACGGUCCUAAGGUAGCGAAAUUCCUUGUCGGUUAAAUACCGACCUGCAUGAAUGGCGUAACGAGAUGGGAGCUGUCUCAAAGAGGGAUCCAGUGAAAUUGUAGUGGAGGUGAAAAUUCCUCCUACCCGCGGCAAGACGGAAAGACCCCGUGGACCUUUACUACAGCUUGACACUGCUACUUGGAUAAGAAUGUGCAGGAUAGG
rnacentral:rRNA from 1 species